CACGGGGCUGGGCAGGAAGCGGGUGCAGAGCGCGUCAGGCCAGGCCUCUCACCUCGGAGAUGGAAAAGCAGAGCUGGAGAGGUUGAGACCGGACAGGCACCGAGCGUCCAGGGGUCACUUCAGAAUACCCAAAGCCUGGAGCUUGGCUCAGCCACCCCAUGUCUCCCAGCGCUGGGCUCAGAGGGCGGCAUGAGCGGCAGAAACUGUCAUCACUGCUAAUUACCGAUGACGGCGCUGGCCACGUGAGAUGGCAGCCACGGCACCGCAUGUGAGUGAAGGGACCAAGGAGGCUGGGCCUGGGAGGGAGGGCCUGGAAAGCUGGGGUGAACUAAAGGCAGGGGAGCCCCCUUUCUCUUCAUUUGCCUGUUCACGCCCUGAUGGGUCUGUGCCUGCGGCAAGGGGGCUGCCAGCGUGAAUGGACACACGCACACACAUGCACACACACGUGCACACACACGCCAGGCUCCUCUGAGCGCCGGGAGCUUCCCCCUCUAUAAUCAACUGCCAGGAAGGCACAGAAAUGCUAUUUUAGGUAGGAGACCGAGGCAGCCUUGAAGACAGACUUUGGCUGGAAGCAAAAAACAAACCACACAGUGGACAAACCAACCACCAGCCAGGUCCAAGCGCCGCCGCCCCAGACCCGAGCCAGGGGGGCAGGUCCCCCACACCCUCCCAAGGUUUCGGCGCCAACAGCCUCAGCAUUGACAGUGGCCAUGACAUGCAAGAAUGGCACACUGGAAAAUGAAAGGGAAGUAGCCAGGAGAGAGGAGAGCCGAGUUUAAAUAAAAGCCAGACUCAGGAGAGCUUAGCUUCUGAGACGGAGUUCAUCCCACGAGCUUGGAACCGUC
rnacentral:lncRNA from 10 species